UACAGAGGUCCCGAGCGUUGUUCGGAUUCACUGGGCGUAAAGGGUGCGUAGGUGGCCAUGAAAGUUUGAUGUGAAAUCUCCGGGCUUAACCCGGAAACGGCAUUGAAUACUCUGUGGCUUGAGGUCUGGAGGGGGGACUGGAAUUCUCGGUGUAGCAGUGAAAUGCGUAGAGAUCGAGAGGAACACCAGUGGCGAAGGCGGGUCCCUGGACAACACCUGACACUGAGGCACGAAAGCUAGGGGAGCAAACAGG
rnacentral:rRNA from 1 species